AACGCGUGGGCAAUCUGCCCUUCAGAUGGGGACAACAUCCCGAAAGGGGUGCUAAUACCGAAUACGAUCCUUCCACCGCAUGGAGGGGGGAUGAAAGAUGGCCUCUACAUAUAAGCUAUCGCUGAAGGAUGAGCCUGCGUCUGAUUAGCUUGUUGGUGGGGUAACGGCCUACCAAGGCGAUGAUCAGUAGCCGGUCUGAGAGGAUGAACGGCCACAUUGGGACUGAGACACGGCCCAAACUCCUACGGGAGGCAGCAGUGGGGAAUAUUCCGCAAUGGACGAAAGUCUGACGGAGCAACGCCGCGUGAGUGAUGAAGGUUUUCGGACUGUAAAGCUCUGUUGUUUGGGACGAAAGUGCCUGUUGCGAACAGUUACGGGUAUUGACGGUACUAAACGAGGAAGCCACGGCUAACUACGUGCCAGCAGCCGCGGUAAUACGUAGGUGGCAAGCGUUGUCCGGAAUUAUUGGGCGUAAAGAGCAUGUAGGCGGGAAUCUAAGUCUGUUGUGAAAAUGCGGGGCUCAACCCCGUAUUGCGAUGGAAACUGGGUUUCUUGAGUGCAGGAGAGGAAAGGGGAAUUCCCAGUGUAGCGGUGAAAUGCGUAGAUAUUGGGAGGAACACCAGUGGCGAAGGCGCCUUUCUGGACUGUGUCUUGACGCUGAGAUGCGAAAGCCAGGUAGCGAACGGGAUUAGAUACCCCCGGUAGUUCCUGGCCGUAAACGAUGGGUACUAUGUUGUAGGGGGUAUCGACCCCCCCUGUGCCGGAGUUAACGCAAUAAGUACCCGCCCUGGGGGAUAACGGCCGCA
rnacentral:rRNA from 1 species